UGCUACUACGGAAAUCCAAAAGCCUAGAGAAAUCAUUCAGUGUAUUGCAACCGUUAUCAACUCAAUAUCUAGUUAUCUAUAACUACAAAAAUCCAAAAGCCUAGAGAAAUUCGUUUUUUAUAGACGUAUACACUCAUAUAUGUAUGCAUUCACCCUUAUGAUUGGAUGCACAUACACUCUACCCUUAUGAGCAUCUCGUUGUUGACCGACACGACACUUAUCACUGAAAAAACAACACCAUUAAAUUUAAAAAUAAAUCCAAGAAAUAAAAACAAUCAUAUUAUUAAGUCGACUUGAAAAGAGGUAGAAGGUUCCACCAUAAAGGAACCUAAUAAGGACCGAAAAGAUGGGAAAGAAACCAGGGACCAAUUGCCAUACUACAAAG
rnacentral:lncRNA from 1 species